rnacentral:misc_RNA from 1 species
AAGUCGUAACAAGGUUUCCGUAGGUGAACCUGCGGAAGGAUCAUUAUCGUGGAGCUGCGGCUCCUUCGAGGGAGAACCCUUGCCUUUUCGAGCACCUGUUUGUUUCCUCGGCAGGCCCGCCUGCCAAUGGGGACCCCUUAAAACCUUUGCAGUAACCUGUACCAAUAAUCGUCUGAAUAAAAAAAUCUAAAUCAAAACUUUCAACAAUGGAUCUCUUGGUUCUG